rnacentral:rRNA from 1 species
UACGUAGGGUGCAAGCGUUAAUCGGAAUUACUGGGCGUAAAGCGUGCGCAGGCGGUUUUGUAAGCCAGAUGUGAAAGCCCCGGGCGUCAACCUGGGAACGUGCGUUUGGUAACUACAAGACUAGAGUGUGUCAGAGGGGGGUGGAAUUCCGCGUGUAGCAGUGAAAUGCGUAGAGAUGCGGAGGAACACCGAUGGCGAAGGACAGCCCCCUGGGAUAACACUGACGCUCAUGCACGAAAGCGUGGGGAGC